GUAGUCUCGCACAGAUGCAUAUCAAUAAGCGGAGGAAAAGAAACUAACAAGGAUUCCCCUAGUAACGGCGAGUGAAGCGGGAAGAGCUCAAAUUUGAAAUCUUAAAGGGUUUCCCUUUACGAAUUGUAGUUUAAAGAAGUGUUUUCUGUUGAGGUUUUGGUAAAAGUUCUUUGGAAUAGGACAUCAUAGAGGGUGAGAAUCCCGUAUUUGACCUUUACUUUCAACUUUGUGAUACACUUUCAAAGAGUCGGAUUGUUUGGGAAUGCAGUCCAAAAUGGGUGGUAAAUUUCAUCUAAAGCUAAAUAUUGGCGAGAGACCGAUAGCGAACAAGUACCGUGAGGGAAAGAUGAAAAGAACUUUGAAAAGAGAGUUAAACAGUACGUGAAAUUGUCAAAAGGGAAGCGUUUGACACCAGUGUUGUUUUUCUGAAAAUCAAUUAAAGAACUGUUUAUGCUAAGCUGUUUAGACUUUAUCAGCUAUCUGUUUAGUUUUGAGCUUUUCUUUAAUGCACUUUUCAGUUAACAAGUCAACAUCAAUUUCUUUUGCUGUAAAAAAGCUUGAGGAAGGUGGCUUGAGAUUCGUCUUAAGUGUUUAUAGCCUCUUGCCUAUGCAGUCGGAGAGAUUGAGGUCUGCAGCGUAGAUCCUUCGGGGCUAAAUGCAUUUGUGCUAAGUUAUAGCAUUUUAUAGACAACUUGUUGACUAUGAUUUGUCUUGUAGCUUACUCGCUUAUGUUAUUUUACCUACGCUUAGGAUGUUGAACUCUAUCACACACA
rnacentral:rRNA from 1 species